rnacentral:rRNA from 1 species
UACGUAGGGUGCAAGCGUUGUCCGGAAUUAUUGGGCGUAAAGAGCUCGUAGGCGGUUUGUCGCGUCGAAUGUGAAAACCCGGGGCUCAACCCCGGGCCUGCAUUCGAUACGGGCAGACUAGAGUUCGGUAGGGGAGUCUGGAAUUCCUGGUGUAGCGGUGAAAUGCGCAGAUAUCAGGAGGAACACCGGUGGCGAAGGCGGGACUCUGGGCCGAUACUGACGCUGAGGAGCGAAAGCGUGGGGAGCAGACAGG